UUUUCUCAAUCUCUGUUGUGUCCCAGAUUGCUUUCCAGCUUGGAUGGCGAAACGCGUAAUAACGUUUCAUUCUGACGCACGUAAUUUAACGUUUUAUUCGCGCGGAGAAAUAUAUCUUUUUUUUUUCUUUACAUUUUGUGCGUCGUCGUGGUAUAUAUAUAUAUAUGUACAUCGUACGUAUGUAUAUAUAUAUAUUAUAUAGUUAUAUAGAUUAUCUAGUUCCGUGUCGAGUUGCUUUCAUUUGGUACGAUCGCGUAUGACAAAAUGGCGGACGCGGGAGCUUUCCCCUUUACGGUAACAAAAAAGAAAAAGUAAUCCAACGACAUCAGACGGAAAAUGAGUGUUGGCAUUUUUUACAAUUGUACUACCAGCGUGACGUUACUAUGAUAAAACAUUUGAGUGUAAACUUUCAAAUCCGUUUUUGGACAGCCGAGAAUCUUCCUCGUACAUUCAUUGCAGCCGAAUUCUGGUUAGUCAAUUGUUCACGAUUGACAAUAAUGUACGCUUACCUGGAAUCUGUGAACUGAACCGUGAAGCCUUAUGAAUGACUUCUGAGUCUGAAUUUUAUGAGAAGUCAACGUCAAGUUCAAGUCCGUCAUGUUUCGUCACUACACAAGCACUGGAAGUCGAGUCAAUUGCGUCAGAUCAAUAAGUCUCGCACAGACACACACUUGCCUGCUGGGUCACGCGUAGAGUAAUUUCUGAUACGAUGUCAAUGCUGUUUGGGCGUGAUCAAAGCACAGAGUCACUAGGGCCAAUGCGAAAACCUCCGAUAGGUCGGAAUGCCAUUAACUCAGUUUAUGUGGCUUGGUCUGCAGGUGGCAAACGACCCAGUGCGAUUAUGGCGGGCGGCUCGCAACCGGCUAACCGUGACCCGACCAACAACUGAUAAGCGGCGAGUGACUGGUGCCCACGGUAUUUAUCACCAGCCCUAGAUGAUAUACGAAAGAUCAAUAUUUAAGUACAAACAACUACCACCAAACUGCCAGAAAAAUGAAAUCAUAUUGCAGCUCAUAAUUUGAAUAUGUAGAAUGGACGAAAAGUAUAUCAGGACUUGAAACAAUAAUAAUAUUUUGCCGAUGACUAUAUAAACAAAGAAACAAAUAUAUUAUCAUAUACAAA